GGGUUGUGAGGUUAAGCGACUAAGCGUACACGGUGGAUGCCCUGGCAGUCAGAGGCGAUGAAGGGCGUGCUAAUCUGCGAUAAGCGCCGGUAAGGUGAUAUGAACCGUUAUAACCGGCGAUACCCGAAUGGGGAAACCCAGUGUGACUCGUCACACUAUCAUUAACUGAAUCCAUAGGUUAAUGAGGCGAACCGGGGGAACUGAAACAUCUAAGUACCCCGAGGAAAAGAAAUCAACCGAGAUUCCCCCAGUAGCGGCGAGCGAACGGGGAGGAGCCCAGAGCCUGAAUCAGCAUGUGUGUUAGUGGAAGCGUCUGGAAAGGCGCGCGAUACAGGGUGACAGCCCCGUACACAAAAGCGCAUGUGCUGUGAGCUCGAUGAGUAGGGCGGGACACGUGGUAUCCUGUCUGAAUAUGGGGGGACCAUCCUCCAAGGCUAAAUACUCCUGACUGACCGAUAGUGAACCAGUACCGUGAGGGAAAGGCGAAAAGAACCCCGGCGAGGGGAGUGAAAAAGAACCUGAAACCGUGUACGUACAAGCAGUGGGAGCACCCUUUGGGGUGUGACUGCGUACCUUUUGUAUAAUGGGUCAGCGACUUAUAUUCUGUAGCAAGGUUAACCGAAUAGGGGAGCCGGAGGGAAACCGAGUCUUAAUUGGGCGUUAAGUUGCAGGGUAUAGACCCGAAACCCGGUGAUCUAGCCAUGGGCAGGUUGAAGGUUGGGUAACACUAACUGGAGGACCGAACCGACUAAUGUUGAAAAAUUAGCGGAUGACCUGUGGCU
rnacentral:rRNA from 5 species